CAGUCGCCGCGGUAACACGUAGGUGGCAAGCGUUGUCCGGAAUUAUUGGGCGUAAAGGGCUCGCAGGCGGUUUCUUAAGUCUGAUGUGAAAGCCCCCGGCUCAACCGGGGAGGGUCAUUGGAAACUGGGAAACUUGAGUGCAGAAGAGGAGAGUAGAAUUCCACGUGUAGCGGUGAAAUGCGUAGAGAUGUGGAGGAACACCAGUGGCGAAGGCGACUCUCCGGUCUGUAACUGACGCUGAGGAGCGAAAGCGUGGGGAGCGAACAGAAUUAGAUACCCGCGUAGUCCCUGUCUCUUAUAA
rnacentral:rRNA from 1 species